rnacentral:rRNA from 1 species
GUAUAAGAGACAGCAGUCGCCGCGGUAAAACGGAGGGUGCAAGCGUUAAUCGGAAUUACUGGGCGUAAAGCGCACGCAGGCGGUCUGACAAGUCAGAUGUGAAAUCCCCGGGCUUAACCUGGGAACUGCAUUUGAAACUGUCAGGCUGGAGUCUUGUAGAGGGGGGUGGAAUUCCAGGUGUAGCGGUGAAAUGCGUAGAGAUCUGGAGGAAUACCGGUGGCGAAGGCGGCCCCCUGGACAAAGACUGACGCUCAGGUGCGAAAGCGUGGGGAGCAAACAGGAUUAGAUACCCCUGUAGUCCCUGUCUCUUAUAC